rnacentral:rRNA from 1 species
UACGUAGGGGGCAAGCGUUGUCCGGAUUUAUUGGGCGUAAAGAGCGUGUAGGCGGCUAGAUAGGUCCGUUGUGAAAACUCGAGGCUCAACCUCGAGACGCCGGUGGAAACCAUCUAGCUAGAGUCCGGAAGAGGAGAGUGGAAUUCCUGGUGUAGCGGUGAAAUGCGCAGAUAUCAGGAAGAACACCAAUGGCGAAAGCAGCUCUCUGGGACGGUACUGACGCUGAGACGCGAAAGCGUGGGGAGCGAACAGG